rfam:Dipodomys ordii contig_35350, whole genome shotgun sequence.
UGUGAUGUGGCUUAGUGGUAAAGUGUUUGCCUAACAUGCAUGAAGCCCUGGGUUUGAUUUCUCAGUACCACAU